rnacentral:rRNA from 1 species
GAUCAUGGCUCAGGACGAACGCUGGCGGCGUGCUUAACACAUGCAAGUCGAGCGGGGAUAUUGAUUGGAAGGUUUCGGCCGGAAGGUUGAUAUUCCAGCGGCGGACGGGUGAGUAACGCGUGAGCAAUCUGUCCCAGACAGGGGGAUAACAGAUGGAAACAUCUGCUAAUACCGCAUAAGACCACGAGGAGACAUCUUCUUGGGGUAAAAGGAGAAAUCCGGUUUGGGGUGAGCUCGCGUCCGA